AGUUACCGCUCUAUAACCCUUUGUGAACAUACCUAUAACUGUUGCUUCGGCGGGUAGGGUCUCCGCGACCCUCCCGGCCUCCCGCCUCCGGGCGGGUCGGCGCCCGCCGGAGGAUAACCAAACUCUGAUUUAACGACGUUUCUUCUGAGUGGUACAAGCAAAUAAUCAAAACUUUUAACAACGGAUCUCUUGGUUCUGGCAUCGAUGAAGAACGCAGCGAAAUGCGAUAAGUAAUGUGAAUUGCAGAAUUCAGUGAAUCAUCGAAUCUUUGAACGCACAUUGCGCCCGCCAGCAUUCUGGCGGGCAUGCCUGUUCGAGCGUCAUUUCAACCCUCAAGCUCUGCUUGGUGUUGGGGCCCUACAGCUGAUGUAGGCCCUCAAAGGUAGUGGCGGACCCUCCCGGAGCCUCCUUUGCGUAGUAACUUUACGUCUCGCACUGGGAUCCGGAGGGACUCUUGCCGUAAAACCCCCCAAUUUUCCAAAGGUUGACCUCGGAUCAGGUAGGAAUACCCGCUGAACUUAA
rnacentral:rRNA from 3 species